UNGGACUGCUUUGUAGACCGGGCUGGCC
rnacentral:piRNA from 1 species